rnacentral:rRNA from 1 species
AACGAACGCUGGCGGCAUGCCUAACACAUGCAAGUCGAACGAAGCCUUCGGGCUUAGUGGCGCACGGGUGCGUAACGCGUGGGAAUCUGCCCCUUGCUUCGGAAUAACAGUUAGAAAUGACUGCUAAUACCGGAUGAAGUCUUCGGACCAAAGAUUUAUCGGCAAGGGAUGAGCCCGCGUAGGAUUAGGUAGUUGGUGGGGUAAAGGCCUACCAAGCCGACGAUCCUUAGCUGGUCUGAGAGGAUGAUCAGCCACACUGGGACUGAGACACGGCCCAGACUCCUACGGGAGGCAGCAGUGGGGAAUAUUGGACAAUGGGCGCAAGACUGAUCCAGCAAUGCCGCGUGAGUGAUGAAGGCCUUAGGGUUGUAAAGCUCUUUUACCAGGGAUGAUAAUGACAGUACCUGGAGAAUAAGCUCCGGCUAACUCCGUG